rnacentral:rRNA from 1 species
CAGUCGAGCGAAUGGAUUGAGAGCUUGCUCUCAAGAAGUUAGCGGCGGACGGGUGAGUAACACGUGGGUAACCUGCCCAUAAGACUGGGAUAACUCCGGGAAACCGGGGCUAAUACCGGAUAACAUUUUGAACCGCAUGGUUCGAAAUUGAAAGGCGGCUUCGGCUGUCACUUAUGGAUGGACCCGCGUCGCAUUAGCUAGUUGGUGAGGUAACGGCUCACCAAGGCAACGAUGCGUAGCCGACCUGAGAGGGUGAUCGGCCACACUGGGACUGAGACACGGCCCAGACUCCUACGGGAGGCAGCAGUAGGGAAUCUUCCGCAAUGGACGAAAGUCUGACGGAGCAACGCCGCGUGAGUGAUGAAGGCUUUCGGGUCGUAAAACUCUGUUGUUAGGGAAGAACAAGUGCUAGUUGAAUAAGCUGGCACCUUGACGGUACCUAACCAGAAAGCCACGGCUAACUACGUGCCAGCAGCCGCGGUAAUACGUAGGUGGCAAGCGUUAUCCGGAAUUAU